rnacentral:rRNA from 1 species
UCUGGUGAUGAUGGCGAAGAGGUCACACCCGUUCCCAUGCCGAACACGGAAGUUAAGCUCUUCAGCGCCGAUGGUAGUUGGGGGAUUCCCCCUGUGAGAGUAGGACAUCGCCAGGC